ACUGGUCACCUUCAUUUUCACUUAUGACAGAUGACGUGGUAAGGUUUUGUGGAAAAUAUAAGAUUCGAUGCGCCAGAUCUUUGAAUUUAAAGCGUACCUAAUGAAUUUUCCGCACUUGCAUGGAAGAUACUAUAUAAUCGGCUGAACAGCCAGCCUUCAGCAACUGCAAUCAUGAAGCUUCUGUGUUUGGUUAUAUUCGCUUUACUGGGAAUCGCGAGCCCCUCAUAUGCAAUGCCCAAAUUUAGAUCGACGCGGUAUGGAUAAUAAAAUAAAACAAACAACUGCUGAUCGUUUGAAUAUUAGAAUGACUAAUAAAGUGUGUUCUAUUUAAGCAGAAAAUAUCAAAAGUUUCGUUUUAAUAGUAAAGGGCAACUUAACAAUGUUGUGAACAUUUUGAAAAAUUUCGGUUUAUGGGUAAGUACUUAAAUGAAAAUUAAUAACAAAAUAUUUUGAUUAUAUAAAAGACAGCAGAAAAAGAUAUUAUACCAAAAAAAAAAAGAUUCUAUGCGGAUUUGAGUUCCUCAAGGGUGCGUCAAAUCGUAGAAUUUAAAGCGUACCUAAGGGAUUCGCAGCACUUGCAUUGGAGGCUACUAUAUAAUCUGUUGAACUGCCUGCCUUCAGCAUCUGCAAUCAUGAAGCUUCUGAGUUUGGUUGUAUUCGCUUUACUGGGCAUCGCGAACUCUGCAAAUGGAAUGCCGCCAUGGGAAACACUAGUAGGAAGCGAAUUCCAUUCUGGGAGGAAAUAAAGUUAAAACAAGCUAUUGCUGAUUGCUUUCAAUUUAUAAUUACUAAUAAAGUGAAUUUUAUUUAUGCCGAAAA